rnacentral:tRNA from 1 species
AGGCGGAAAUUCGGUGCAAUUCAAGUAUGCUGACUUUUAAUCAGUAGGUCCAGGGUUCGAAUCCCUGCGCGCUCACCA